CCAAAGGCUCUUUUCAGAGCCACUCCGUCUUCUAAAGGGAACUGG
rfam:Felis catus isolate Cinnamon breed Abyssinian chromosome B2, whole genome shotgun sequence.